rfam:Phormidesmis priestleyi Ana ITZX_scaf_112, whole genome shotgun sequence.
GCCGGGAUAGCUCAGCUGGUAGAGCAGUGGACUGAAAAUCCUCGUGUCCGGGGUUCAAGUCCCCGUCCUGGCA